rnacentral:lncRNA from 1 species
ACUCUUAUAACCGACUGUUCCUAUCGCAGGUGGUAAAAAAUUUGAUGAUUGGUAUCCGAAGUCUCAAGUUUAAAUCCUAAUUGAUUCAUAUUUUCAGUUAAGUUUAUUUCUAAAUGAAAUAAACGAAACGGAUAACGUGCUUACUACCUAUCUCUCAAAAAAAAAAAGAAGAAAAAGAAUGGAACUUUUAUAAAUAAUUACUUAUAUUGUGUCAUUGAGCAAUCAAAAUACUCUUCUAAAAUUCAAAUAUUUUAUAAUAUUUUUUCAAAUAAAAAAAUUAAUUUUAUACAGAUUUCUAUAAAUAUAAUAAAUUGUAAAUAUAUUUUUACAAAGUUCAAUUUUCAUAUGUUAUUCCUCCAAAUAUCUUAAUAUUUUUAAAUAUGUCCAUGUCAUUAUGAUUGGUUAGUAAAAAUUUAUUAACUAUAGAGAAAAUAGAUAAUCAUAAUUAAUUAAUAAGGUGAAUUGAUUUUUUAUCUUUAUUUAAUUAAUAGUUGGAACUUUUGGAGGGACAUAUUUGUGAUGGCAAAAAGUUGUUUCACUUAUAAAAUAAGUAGUAUUUUAACAGGAACAAAUCAUAGAGAUAUUUAAAAAUAUUAAGACUUUUGUAAAAAAAAAUAUAAAAAUUAAAUUUUGAAGGGAUAUAUUUGUAAUUUAUUAUAUUGCAUGAAGCUGUAUGAAAUUAAUCCUUAAAAAUAAAUGAUGUGAUGUAAAUGUUGCAUAGCAGACUUUAUUCUUAUCUUCCUCUUCGUCAGCAAUAUUGUGUUCGUCUGUCACAAAUUUUUUUAAUUUUUAAUUUAAAUAUAUCUUAUAUAAUUCUCACAAUUAUAAAUAUAUUAAAAUAAAUAAAUAAUUUAAAAAUUAAAGUUAGAAUAUUAAUAACUGUUUUAAUUUUAAGUAAUUUAUAGUUUAAAUAAAAGCAAUAUAAUUUGUGUAGAACUACUAUACUAUAAGAAGUAUAAAAAAUUUGAUACUUUCGAUUUUUUAAUCUUUAAAUAAAAAAUUAUACGAUUAAGAUGAUUACACUCUCUUCUAGAAUUGAAUACUACUCUUAAAAUUAAGUGAUCCCUACAAAAUAAUAAUAUUAAUUUAAAAAUUAAAAAUAAUUAAAAGAGCUUUUUUAAGGGCGAAAAAAUGAAAAGCUCUACAAAUAUAAUUUUAGGGAAAACUUCAAAAACCACUCCUGUGGUUUCGUGCAUUCUUACUUUGCUACCCUGUGGUUUAAAACGUAUCAAUUUACCUCCCUGUGGUUUCAUUUUUAUCUUUUCGGAAGCUUUUUCGUUAAUAUUUCGUUAAAUUAUAUACAAAAAACUUCAGAUAACCAUCUAUAUUUAUCGAAUAGUCACUUUAGUAUCCUUUAAUUUUAACUUUGUCACUGAUUUUAAAAAAAAAUAAUAAUAAAAUUGAUAACAAAAAGAUAAAAACGAAACCACAGGGGGGCAAAUUGAUACGUUUUAAACCACAGGGUAGCAAAGUGAGAAUGCACGAAACCAUAGGGAGGGUUUCUGAAGUUUUCCCAUAAUUUUAUAAAAAAAUAUUUGCGACAAAGAAGAACGCUGCUCCGGUGACAUACCUGUACAAGCCAGGUGUAAAUAGCCGUUAUCUUUAACGGACGUCCGUUUCCGCGACAGUUAAAGCAAUUUAUUUAUUUAUUUAUUAUUUGAAGUGAAAUAAACAGGCGGCGGGAAAAAGAAAGAUUAUUAGAAUUAAAAGAGUUAAAAUUAAAAAGUAAAACUUAAAUACCCCUGUGGUUUCUCAAUUUCUUCCUUUAGUAUCCUAUAGUUUAAAGUGUAUCAUGUUAGUAUCUUGUGAUUUCUCAUUUUUUUUAUUUUAGUAUCUUUUGGUUUAAAGUGUAUCAAGUUAGUACCCUGUGGUUUCGCAUUUUCUCACUUUAGUACCUUAUGGUUUAAUAUUUUGUUAAUUAUAUAUAUACAAAAAACUUCAGAUAUUCUACCUAGGUUUAUGGAAUAUUUAUUUUAGUACCAUUUAGUUUUAACUUUGUCACUAAUUUAACGAAAAAAAUAUUCAAAAAUGGAUAAUAAAAAGAAAAAAAAAUGAAAUUAUAGGGUGCUAACUUGAUACAAAAAUGAAAUCACAGAGUACUAACUUGAUACACUUUAAACUAUAGGGUACAAAAGUGAGAAAGUGCUAAAUUACAUGAUACUAAUUUGAUACACUUUAAACUAUAGAAUAUUAAAAUAAAAAAGUACGAAACUAAAUAGAGGGUUUUUAAAAUUUUCCCAAAUUAAAAUAAUGG